CUGUUGAUGCAAAAACUAAUCUGCAAACACAAAGGGCUAAUACCCGAUCCAAACGUUAAGGCGUGCCAGCCGAUUUGACCUUACUAUCGGCAAAGGUGAUAACUCGAAUACUUUAGUCCUGACAACAGCGAUGCGCCCGGAUGUCACGGCUAAGAGGUACUCACGCGGAACUUGAGGAUACGCCGAGCUUGAGUCGACGAAUUCCUAAGAACUCGUAACAAAAAGAAAACGUAUGACGAAGUCGUCGAAAAGUAAAUGCUGGAAUAUGAGUAAAAACGUGUGUUUGAUUGAUUAUUACAAGGUCCUAGGGCUUAUAUUUAUACCCUGCUCAAAGAGCUAAGACCAGACACGAUUAGAAUUCGAAUUCCAAUUUACACGGAACCCGUAUACAAAACGAUGCGAAUAACUAAGGAAAUAAUAAAACCACCCUUCGUAACAAACCAAAACUCCUCCACAUGACAACUGGCAGCUUCCGGACUCCUCCUUCGCGUCAUCGGCAAUCCCCUUGCCAUAGUCAUCGGCAGACCUUUUUACUUGGUCAUCGGCACCGUAUUACUGCUUGAGGACUUAGUCACAUUCAACCUUUCCCUCAUCGGCGACCAUCCUUAUCAGC
rnacentral:lncRNA from 1 species